AGCUUUGCACAGUGGCAGUAUUGUAGCCAAUGAGGUUUAGCCAAGGCGUGAUUAUUGCUAAUUGAAAACUAUUCCCAAUACCCCGCUAUGAUGACUUGAAAUAUAGUCGGCGUUGGCAAUUUUUGGCAGUCUCUACGGAGA
rnacentral:snRNA from 1 species